CAUGGAUGGGUGCAUGGCCGAAGAGGGCCAAAUCCACACCGAGCUCGCCCUGGCUUGGAUCCAGCGCCCGACGCGCAGCUCCGACCUCCCUCCCUGGCUUUCCCCGAGCUCGCGCUCAACCUGCUCGCUGGUCCCCCUUCUCCCAUCUCGGACUUCGCCGUCCUGCUGCUCGCCAUGGCGCCUAGUACCUGGCCUGGCCGGAGCUCCCUCCAACUCGAGCUCCCACCUCCCAUGGAUGUCUACUCCAGCUCGCUCUCCAGUCGUUCCUCCCUGUGCUCGCCCCAUCUCUCUCCAUGGCGCGCGCGUCCAUCCCUGUUAGCUGCAAGCAUCCGAGUUCCCCUGCGCGCGCUCUGCUCCCUCGCCGCGCGCGUCCUGCUCGCCUCUGUGACGUGCGCUCUCACCAGCCAUGAAGCUCCCAUGGCGCGCCCUGCUCCUCUGUGCGCAGCCGCGUUCCUCUACCGGCCAUCAGUUGCCGCUGAACCACAGUUGGAUUAAUUUUUAGCUUCCCUCGCGUGGCUCUCUGGAGAUAAGCUCCUCACUGGUUGUCGCUCCCAAUCUUUAGUUCACCGACUGACCGUCAUGUUCCUUGUUUUCCCUCGUCGGCCGACCUCGCCUCGACUUAGUUCGCCCGUUGUGCUGGUCGUUGUCCCAUGCUGUGCCUAUUAGCUUGGAUCCUGCCCAGCUCGCCAUCGCGUUGUUCGCCGUCGACCUCGCUUGGCCCUAUAUCGUUAGGCUAGUCGACCAUAGUCGCUGCCGCGCGCGCUUGUCCCUG
rnacentral:misc_RNA from 1 species